CCUACGGGUGGCAGCAGUGAGGAAUAUUGGUCAAUGGGGGCGAGCCUGAACCAGCCAAGUAGCGUGAAGGAUGACGGCUCUACGGGUUGUAAACUUCUUUUAUAAAGGAAUAAAGUGAGGCACGUGUGCCUUUUGGAAUGUCCUUUAUGGAUAAGGAUCGGCUAACUCCGUGCCAGCAGCCGCGGUAAUACGGAGGAUCCGAGCGUUAUCCGGAUUUAAUGGGUUUAAAGGGAGCGUAGAUGGGUUGUUAAGUCAGUUGUGAAAGUUUGCGGCUCAACCGUAAAAUUGCAAUUGAUACUGGCAGUCUUGAGUACAGGUGAGGUAGGCGGAAUUCGUGGUGUAGCGGUGAAAUGCUUAGAUAUCACGAAGAACUCCGAUUGCGAAGGCAGCUUACUAAACUGCAACUGACAUUGAUGCUCGAAAGUGUGGGUAUCAAACAGGAUUAGAUACCCCAGUAGUC
rnacentral:rRNA from 1 species